rnacentral:tRNA from 1 species
AAGGGAGACCUAAUUCAGGUAGGAGACGAAAAAAAAGUAGUCGCUACCAAGAAUCAAUCCCAAAAGGUCGGAGCGAGGCGAAAUUGGCUUUCAAACUAGGUUCUGGGUUCACACAAGACCUGAAUCAGGAACAAGGGCUAUUAGCUCAGGUGGUUAGAGCGCACCCCUGAUAAGGGUGAGGUCCCUGGUUCGAGUCCAGGAUGGCCCACCUGUACAGGUGGCAAAAAGAAAGAAAAGAAGCGAGGAAUCAGCACCUUAUCUUACUGACAUAGUAAGAGAGAAUGCUGGCUCUGAGUAAAGAGUCCAGAGGAACCUUGAAAACUGUAUAGAGCUAGGUGAAAAAGCCAAAAAAGAAGACCGCAA